GGUCUGCAAGAGUUCUCGAACAUCGCAGAGCACAGGAUCCGGCUGAAGGACGACAAGCCGCUGAAGCAAAGUCAACAUGACACUUGGGUCGCAGACAGCCAAUUCGGAUUGAAGUAAAACGGAUCUCUUUGACAAGGAUGAUUUUUAUGAGGCCGCUUGAAGCCUUACUAAUUCCUCAACCGGAUGGUAAUGGUAUAUCAGCACUUUUUCAAAAAUCGUGUAUUACAUCUUGCCACGAGCCUUUUCAAAUACUUUUCGCCAAAGCCCCGUCUUCAGCAUUUUUUUUAAAAUAUGCAAAAAUGGAAAUGCUGCAAUCACGCCAAUUUUUUAGGAUGGUAGGCUUUGCAAAAUAAGGUAAUAUAUUAUUAAAUAUAUCUCCAUCACUAUUCAAACCGUAUAUGGAUCCUAAAUAUCAUUUAUUCUCACCGGGCACAAAUAAAGUGACUAAUUUAGUCAUUGUUGAACAUUUUUUCAUCCAAACCUUUGAGCGUCGUUGUCAGGUUGAUGCAGAGUAUACUGACUUUUUUUUAAAGCCUUCGAUUAGGUCAGUCACGUCGUUCUCGUUAAGAAAUUGUCUGGGCUGGGUUUUCCUUCUUAUCGUUAUUAUCACGUACGCAUCAACAAUACUUUGUCCGCCCCUUACGUCACAUCUUCAAGGAGUACCCCAGCGGGGCUGUCUUAGUCCCCUUCUAUUUAAUAUGUUUUUUAUUGACAGAGAGUUGCUUCUGUUCAUCCGAUUAUCUAUUGUUUACCUUAACAUAUUUAAACGCGUU